UUGCACAAUUCAUCUCCUAGAGGGAAACUCACUGUCAACUGUACGGCCAUGGUCAACAUACCCUUUUUUUUUUCCUCCGCAAUCACAUGCAGCCACUUUGGAGGUUGAAAUUUCAGCAUUUUCCAAAUAACAGAUGAAACUGAGAAUGAAUUCAAGAUUACUGCCUAGCAAGACACUCCCUUUUGAAUGGGGUAACGAAUCUAGAAAGCAAGGCACUGAGCACUGAAAAGUGCUGCAGCUCCAUGCUGCAUUUCUAGAGUAUCCAGAGGGUAGCAGAGUUGGUGCACCAUAGGAUGAUUCAAGCUGCACAGCGGUGGUGGGCAGCCACCACAGCCACGGUCAGGACGGCACAAGCAUCCUUCAUGACUGAUGGUAACCAGAACACCGCGUGCCACGUAGCAAGAUAACGGGAAGCACGCUUGAACUCAUGGACACUCCAGGAAAUUUGCAGCUUCCAGUUAUUGAGCCAUGAAUUAGGAUUCAGCUAUUAGCUAACCUCAGUGACUUCCUCUUAAGCUGGAGCUGAACAGUAAAGAAAAACAUGCCAUUCACACUGAUGGUGUGCAUGAGGUGGAAAAGACAAUUGUGUUUUAACCUUACUAUUUGCUUGAUCAUGUGCAGAGGAAGCCCAUACUGAAUUACAACAAUCUUGAUACAUAUUUUUUAACAUUUGGGUUCAGUAUUAUCUCUAGAUUAAAUUAAACUGAACCACAGCAUAGGAGAAGAAAGGAAAGUGUCUAUAAUUAGGUUAGUUUUUCACUUUUGACACAGUAGGCCAAUUUUGUUCUCAAAUUGACUGUAUAAACCUGCAUAACUUAAUUUACUUCUGCUGGAAGUUCAGUGUAAUUGUAUUAGCAUUGGUAGAGAUGAUACUCUCAUUCAAAUUGACUAUAUCUGAUGCUGCCUUGGAUUUAAAGAAAAUACAGUUAGUACUUUCCUUUUUUCCCUUUUAACUACCUUCUUCAAGUAAAAGAUGCUCUUGCCUGUAGAGGGAGAUUUUAAAACGUACAAAGACCUGCCCAAAAGAAAGUAAAUCAUGAACUGCAUGCAUUAAGGAUGUUUAUAUUGGCAUAGGGUAGAGGGUGAGGAAGCCUGUCUUAUAUGGCUACCUCUGUCAUAUGCUUCGGUCCUAUCUGUACUAGAAGCUGAUCUAUUAUGGACAAUCAGGGAUUAUCAUGCAAACAGCUUACAGCAUAGUUAAAGGUUCCAUUCCUGAUAACCAUUUUAAAAUAUUAUUGUUGACAGGGAAGACCCACCUGGCCCUGUGAAAUUCAUACACUUUUCUGUACCAUGUUUUCCUUAACUUAAAAACUGGAUUCCCAACAAUUCAUAAUAUUCCAUAGGGAGUAAAAUAAUAUCUGUUAUUCUGAGAUUCCUGGAUUAAGGCACUGUAGAAAUACAAAGUGUUAUUACUGAGCAAUUAGGUUCAGGGAAAAAAUCUAGUAAACCCAGUCACUAAGUAGGUUGCUUACCUUUGCGAAUCUGAAGCUUAACGAUUAGAAAGAGUUCGAAAAUGUUAGGCAUACUGCCAGUAAGUUGUCUUGUAUGUGUAACAUACUGUGUCAUACAAACCAGAAGUCUAAAGGUGGAUGUUUCAGAGGAAAGCACCCAUAAUCACAGCAGUGUGUGAAAGGUAGAGGAUGAAUUCCUGUUAGGGAAAAAGAAUACCAGCAAUUACUGCUAUGAAGGGUAAGUCAAAUUAAAAGAGGAUCAUUUACCAGGCAUGACUGGCAGAUCAUGGAAAGAAAUUAGUAGCAAAAUUAGAUUUCAUGGGCACAAAUGAGGUUAAAUAAAGUCCCCAAGUCUUUAUGUGAGUAAACUGAGAGUAAAACUCCUACAGGCAUUUAAAGAAAGCAGAAGAGUGAACCUUUCUUUAUGUGUCACCCUGCUUUGGUGCUGCUGCGAUCAGAGUUCCACUUGCAACCUGUUAUUGUUUGUUUUACUAGGAAAUCACUAGAGUAUCCCAAACUGAAAUUAAAACUUACUGUUUACCUAAAAAAGGACUAUUAGAAAGAUGCAAGAAAAAGAUAAGAUCCAACUCCUUCAAAUUACAUUUUACCAUAUAAUGUAAAAAAGAGUACUGGAAGACAAACUAAGCAAAAUAAUAAUGGAUUAGCCCAAGAAAUGCCAUUUGAGCAGAACAGUUACCCAGUCAUGAUCAAGUAUAGCUUUGUCAGCAGAUAAAAGAUGAGUUAAAGGGAAACAGAAGUGAUGUUGUAUAGGCAAGUGGCUUACAGAUGGAAAACUAUUCUUAGUCAUGUGAAUGUGCAAAGAAAUGUAAGGGAAAAAUGGAAUGACAGACUGACAAGCAACAUAACUGACAGCUAGGAAGGGAAUACUAGUGGCUUCAUAACAGAUGAAUAUGAAGGUUGAUCUCAGAUCGUAUAACUACAUCAGAGCUAUCUUUAAACUAGUGAUCUCGGAUGUGGAAAUAGAAACAGAGCUUGUAGGAAUAAAAAAGGAAAAUAGCUGGCCCUGAGAGUUUUCACAGUAGGAACAGACAGAAAAGUCUAAACUCGGCAGCAGUGGCUUUCCUCUGUCUGUUUUGGUCUGUAUGGAAAGAAACAGUGUAAGUAGAAGAUGAUGUAUAAAUUGCUAACAAAGUUGACAGUUAAACCAUUUUUGCAGGCUAGAAUUGUGAUGCAAUAUUAAAUCAAAUGCAAUAUUAAAGCCGUUGCUUACAGAA